UCCGAUAUGGUCUAGUGGCUAGGAUACCUGGCUCU
rnacentral:sRNA from 1 species